GGUUCAUUAAUGUUUUUACACUAAGAGGUCUGUGUUUCAAUUCCUGAAAAAUGUGAAAUUAUGUGAAUUAAAAGAGAAAAAGACUUACAAGAGAUCUGCAGCAUGACGUAAGGAGUACCAACAAAUGUAGAUCCUAUAGGGCGGCUCAGGUAAUGCAGUCAGACAUAAAUACUCAUACGACAGGUAAAAUUAUCGGCCGUAGAGUCAUAGUCGUAAUUAGGCCUGGGCAUUUCGGGUAUCGGUUCGGUUCGGUUCGGUUAUUUCGGGUUUCGGGUAGUUUGGAUAGGGGUCAGAGGAUCCAUUGAGUACUUGACAUUUUUUCGGUUCGGAUCGGUUCGGAUAGUUUCGGGUUCGGUUCGGUUCGGAUAGUAAAACUAGGAACCGGAAAAUACCCGAAAAAUAUUCGGUUCUCAUUUGGUUCCGGUUCGGAUUCGGAUAGUUCGGAUAGUUCGGGUAAUAUUACCCAAACUAUCCAAAAC
rnacentral:lncRNA from 1 species